GGCGAACGCUGGCGGCGUGCUUAACACAUGCAAGUCGAACGGAAAGGCCCUGCUUGCAGGGUACUCGAGUGGCGAACGGGUGAGUAACACGUGGGUGAUCUGCCCUGCACUUCGGGAUAAGCCUGGGAAACUGGGUCUAAUACCGGAUAGGAGCCAUUUUUAGUGUGAUGGUUGGAAAGUUUUUUCGGUGUAGGAUGAGCUCGCGGCCUAUCAGCUUGUUGGUGGGGUAAUGGCCUACCAAGGCGGCGACGGGUAGCCGGCCUGAGAGGGUGGACGGCCACAUUGGGACUGAGAUACGGCCCAGACUCCUACGGGAGGCAGCAGUGGGGAAUAUUGCACAAUGGGCGCAAGCCUGAUGCAGCGACGCCGCGUGGGGGAUGACGGCCUUCGGGUUGUAAACUCCUUUCGCUAGGGACGAAGCUUUUGUGACGGUACCUAGAUAAGAAGCACCGGCUAACUACGUG
rnacentral:rRNA from 1 species